AGGAUUACAGAAAAGUCAGUUGUAGGGAUAGAGAAAUCAUUGGGUUGAGGGAACUCAACCACAGAAAUGACAGAAAUAAACAGAUUUGCUUUGGUAAACUCAACUAGCAUAAGUCUGUAUGUUUUCACUGACUGUGUCAUUAGAACUUUCUUAAUUUUUGGAUGGAAAAUAUUAAUUUGGUUCUGAUGUUCAAUAUAAAUCCAGAAAAUGAAGUCAAUGGCUUUUUUAGACUUGAUCUUCAGAUAACAUAUAUUUUUCUGAUUAAAAAAAUUACCAGAGCCAGGAGAUAGUAAGAAAAGUACAAAUAUUCAAGGACUUCUCCAAAAUUUGGACGCUAGAAAUUUCAAGUAAGUUGAAGGUACAGAUAUGUACCCAGAUAUAAACAGGAGGGUUUCUGAGUUCCCAUCAUGGCACAGGGGAAAUGAAUCCGACUAGGAACCAUGAGGCUGUGGGUUCGAUCCCUGGCCUUGCUCAGUGGGUUAAAGAUCCAGUGUUGCUGUGAGCUGUGAUGUAUGUCACACAUGGCUUGGAUCCUGCGUUGCUGCGGCUGUGGCAUAGGCCGGCAGCUAUAGGUCCUAUUCGACCCCUAACUUGGAACCCUCCAUAUGCCGCAGGUGCACCCCUAAAAAGCAAAGAAUAAAUAAAAAUAAAUAAACAGGAGGGUUUCCUUUUCAAAAAAUGAUUACAUAUCCUGACAUGUUUAAUGAGCAUAACUCAUUCACUAAGAGACUUAAACAAAUACUAUUAAAAAUUUUAUUUCCUAUAUAAAAAUUAGAUAUUUGUUUAGAAAAUUAAAAGUAAAUGAGAGUAUUUUCUAAGUCCUUAAAACGAAAAAUAUUUAAUAGGCAUAACAUAAGCAAUAAAAUAUUAUGUUCAGGAGUUCCUGUCGUGGCUCAGUGGUUAACGAAGGGAACUCCUGGGAACCAUUUUCCAUAUAUAACACUGAUUUGUGAGACACUCUUCGAAAGCAAUUUCUUGAAAUAAGUAAACAAACAUGAAAAGAGUGACCUCCCUUGUCCCCUUUAUCCAUUUGCCAAAUCGUGCUGUCAAAGAAUUGUGGUGACCACAUCACAUCCUCUCACCAUCUUUGUCACAUUUCAUUUGUCUAGAAAAGGAACUCCCAGGAACCAGCAAGACAAGUGCACACAGCUUAAAGGUUUCUGGUCUGCACUCACAUUUCCUCCUUGCACAUCUAAUGUCGUUAAUAUUUCAGCAGCUGCGGCACUAGGGUCAAACUGCAAAUUUUAUCUAUUUAUUUCUGAAUCCUCAGUCAUCGACUUUGGAGAGAAAGAGAUUGAGAGUGACACCGAGUGAGAGGGAGAGAGGAGGAGAAAGAGAUGCACUUUUUAAGAACUGACAGUCGGAAAGAAAACAG
rnacentral:lncRNA from 1 species